GGUGGUGUAGCUCAGUGGCAGAACAUCUGCACUGUGUGCAGAAAGUCCCAGGUUUAGUCCCUGGCAUCUGCA